rnacentral:rRNA from 1 species
UACGUAGGGGGCAAGCGUUGUCCGGAUUUAUUGGGCGUAAAGAGCGUGUAGGCGGCUAGGUAGGUCCGUUGUGAAAACUCGAGGCUCAACCUCGAGACGCCGAUGGAAACCAUCUGGCUAGAGUCCGGAAGAGGAGAGUGGAAUUCCUGGUGUAGCGGUGAAAUGCGCAGAUAUCAGGAGGAACACCGAUGGCGAAGGCAGCUCGCUGGGACGGUACUGACGCUGAGACGCGAAAGCGUGGGGAGCAAACAGG